CGAAAUCGGUAGACGCUACGGACUUAAAAUCCGUCGACUUUAAAAUCGUGAGGGUUCAAGUCCCUCUAUCCCG
rnacentral:tRNA from 1 species